rnacentral:lncRNA from 1 species
AUUACCACUUGAUGAGAACAAGGGUGGCCCAAUCUUCCGAAAAGUUCUAGUAACUCUCGAUUUGGUGGAGACGAGACACAAAUCCAUACAGCUUCUGAACAACACGAUCCGAAACCCUGCAUUUUUUUAUUUUAUUGAUAUUUUUAUUUUACUUAGGAAUGCUAAAGGAGUAACCAUAGAAAAUUUGAGCUUAAGCAAGUGAAAGACAUGGCCUGUGGAAUUUUCUGAAGAUUGUGAAAAAUGUGAAAAAACUUCACGUAUUGGAAACUCAAACUUCGGAGGCGAAUUUCAGGAUUCUAAAAUUGUCAAACCCGCGAAAGUUAGGGACAAACAGAUUUGAAAUUUUUUUCUGAUCUAUUUUGAUACAUGAAACGUUCAAAUUGGAGUUCGUAUGCAAAGGUUAUCGCUGUUUUACGAACAGACUUCAAAUUUGAGGACAAAACGGUCCGAAAGUGGGAAAAUUUUGCGGCGGUGGCAAGAAAUUGAUGGAAACGGUGGGGAAAAGAUAUGAACUGGACUCUAACAAGACCUAACCAGCAACAAGACCUCGACCAGGACACAAACUCAACACUGCGGACUCUGAAACUGAAAUAUGCAAAGGCUAUGGCGGGGAAGGGUUGUAGGACAGGAAAACGAUAUGGCACUGGACUUAUGGGACGAACACAAGAACACUCAAAACUAACGGUAUACCUGAAGCUUUGAUUACCACUUGAUGAGAACAAGGGUGGCCCGAUCUUCUGAAAGGUUCUCGUAACUCUCAAUUUGGUGAAGACGAGACACAAAUCGAUGUGGCUUCCGAACAACACGAUCCGAAACCCCGCAUUUUUUUAUUUUUUUUAAUAAUUUCCUUUUACUUAGGAGCACUAAAGAAGUAACCACAUAAAAUUUGAGCUUAAUCAAGUAAAAGACGUGGCCUGCAAAAUUUUGUAAAUAUUACAAAAAAUGUGAAAAAAACUUCACAAGGUGAAAACUCAAACUUCGAAGACGAAUUUGGAGAUUCUAAAAUUUUCAAACCCCCUAAAACCGAGGACAGACAGACACUAAAUUUUUUUCUAAUCGAUUUUGAUAUAUGGAACAUUGAAAUCGGAGUUUGUAUGUGAAAGUUAUGGCUGUUUUACGAACGGACUCCGAAUUAGAGGACAAAACGGUCCGAAAGUGGGAAAAAGUUGCGGCGAUGGCUAGAAAUUGAUGGAAACGGUGGGAAAAAAAACACAAACUGGACUCUAACAAGACCUAACCAGCAACAAGACCUCGACCAGACACAAACUCAAAACUGCGGACUCGGAAACUGAAAUAUGCAAAGGCUAUGGCGCGGAAGGGUUGUAGGACAGAAAAAUGAUAUGGCACUGGACUUAUGGUACAAACACAAGAACACUCGAAACUAAGGGUAGAUGUGAACCUAACGGUAUACCUGAAGCUUUGAUUACCACUUGAUGAAAACAAGGGUGGCCCGAUCUUCCGAAAGGUUCUAUUAACUCUCGAUUUGGUGGAGAUGAGACACAAAUCGAUCCGGCUUCCGAACAACACGAUCCGAAACCCUGCAAUUUUUUUUUAUUUUUUUGAUAUUUUUCUUUUACUUAGGUGCACUAAAGAAGUAACCACAGAAAAUUUGAGCUUAAACAAGUGAAAGACGUGGCCUGCGAAAUUUUCUAAAUUUUGUGAAAAAAGUUUAAAAAACUUCACGAGGUGAAAACUUAAACUUCGGAGGCGUAUUUGGAAAUUCUAAAAUUUUCAAACCCGCUAGUGGUAGGGACAGGCAAACCCAAAAAAAUUUUUCUGAUUGAUUUUGAUAUAUGGAACGUUGAAAUCGGAGUUCGUACGCGAAUGUUAUGGCUAUUUUACGAACGGACUCUGAAUUAGAGAACAAAACGGUCCGAAAGUGGGAAAAAUUUGUGGCGAUGGCUAGAAAUUGAUGGAAACGGUGGGGAAAAACAUACUAACUGGUCUCUAACAAGACCUAACCAGCAACAACCUCGACCAGGACACAAACUCAAAACUGCAGACUCUGAAUCUGAAAUAUGCAAAAGCUAUGGCGCGGAAGGGUUGUAGAACAGGAAAACAAUAUGGCACUGGACUUAUGGGACGAACACAAGAACACUCGAAACUAAGGGUAGAUGUGAACCUAACGGUAUACCUAAAGCUUUGAUUACCACUUGAUGAGAACAAGGGUGGCCCGAUCUUCCGAAAAGUUCUGGUAACUCUCGAUUUGGUGGAGACGAGACACAAAUCGAUACAGCUUCUGAAUAACACGAUCCGAAACCCUACAUUUUUUUAUUUUUUUGAAAUUUUUAUUUUACUUAGGAGUGCUAAAGGAGUAACCACAGAAAAUUUGAGCUUAAGCAAGUGACAGACAUGGCCUGUUGAAUUUUCUGAAGAUUGUGAAAAAUGUGAAAAAACUUCACGUAUUGGAAACUCAAACUUCGGAGGCGAAUUUCAGGAUUCUAAAAUUGUCAAACCUGCGAAAGUUAGGGACAAACAGAUUUGAAAUUUUUUCUGAUUUAUUUUGAUAUAUGAAACGUUGAAAUCGGAGUUCGUAUGCGAAGGUUAUGGCUAUUUUACGAACAGACUUCGAAUUAGAGGACAAAACGGUCCGAAAGUGGGAAAAUUUUGCGGCGGUGGCAAGAAAUUGAUGGAAACGGUGGGGAAAAGAUAUGAACUGGACUCUAACAAGACCUAACCAGCAACAAAACCUCGACCAGGACACAAACUCAACACUGCAGACUCUGAAACUGAAAUAUGCAAAGGCUAUGGCGUGGAAGGGUUGUAGGACAGGAAAACGAUAUGGCACUAGACUUAUGGGACGAACACAAGAACACUCAAAACUAACGGUAGAUGUGAACCUAACGGUAUACCUGAAGCUUUGAUUACCACUUGAUGAGAACAAGGGUGGCCCGAUCUUCUGAAAGGUUCUCAUAACUCUCGAUUUGGUGAAGACGAGACACAAAUCGAUCUGGCUUCCAAACAACACAAUCCGAAACCCCGCAUUUUUUUAUUUUUUUAAUAUUUUCCUUUUACUUAGGAGCACUAAAGAAGUAACCACAUAAAAUUUGAGCUUAAUCAAGUAAAAGACGUGGCCUGCGGAAUUUUGUGAAGAUUACAAAAAAUGUGAAAAAAACUUCACAAGGUGAAAACUCAAACUUCGAAGACGAAUUUGGAGAUUCUAAAAUUUUCAAACCCCCCAAAACCGAGGACAGAUAGACACUAAAUUUUUUUCUCAUCGAUUUUGAUAUAUGGAACAUUGAAAUCGGAGUUUGUAUGUGAAAGUUAUGGCUGUUUUACGAACGGACUCCGAAUUAGAGGACAAAACGGUCUGAAAGUGCGAAAAAGGUUCGGCGAUGGCUAGAAAUUUAUGGAAACGGAGGGAAAAAAAUACAAACUGGACUCUAACAAGACCUAACCAGCAACAAGACCUCGACCAGGACACAAACUCAAAACUGCGGACUCGGAAACUGAAAUAUGCAAAGGCUAUGGCGCGGAAGGGUUGUAGGACACAAAAAUGAUAUGGCACUGGACUUAUGGGACAAACACAAGAACACUCGAAACUAAGGGUAGAGGUGAACCUAACGGUAUACCUGAAGCUUUGAUUACCACUUCAUGAGAACAAGGGUGGCCCGAUCUUCCGAAAGGUUCUGUUAACUCUCGAUUUGGUGGAGACGAGACACAAAUCGAUCCGGCUUCCGAACAACACGAUCCGAAACCCUGCAAUUUUUUUUAUUUUUUUGAUAUUUUUCUUUUACUUAGGUGCAUUAAAGAAGUAACCACAGAAAAUAUGAGCUUAAACAAGUGAAAGACGUGGCCUGCGGAAUUUUCUAAAUUUUGUGAAAAUGUGAAAAAAACUUCACGAGGUGAAAACUUAAACUUCGGAGGCGUAUUUGGAAAUUCUAAAAUUUUCAAACCCGCUAGUGGUAGGGACAGGUAGACCCGAAAUUUUUUUCUGAUUGAUUUUGAUAUAUGGAACGUUGAAAUCGGAGUUCGUACGCGAAUGUUAUGCUAUUUUACGAACGGACUCCAAAUUAGAGAACAAAACGGUCCGAAAGUGGGAAAAAUUUGCGGCGAUGGCUAGAAAUUGAUGAAAACGGUGGGGAAAAACAUACUAACUGAACUCUAACAAGACCCAACCAGCAACAACCUCGAUCAGGACACAAACUCAAAACUGCGGACUCUCAAUCUAAAAUAUGUAAAAGCUAUGGCGCGGAAGGGUUGUAGAACAGGAAAACAAUAUGGCACUGGACUUAUGGGACGAACACAAGAACACUAGAAACUAUGAGUAGUUGUGAACCUAGCGGUAUACCUAAAGCUUUGAUUAACACUUGAUGAGAACAAGGGUGGCCCGAUCUUCCGAAAAGUUCUGUUAACUCUCGAUUUGGUGGAGACGAGACACAAAUCGAUACAGCUUCUGAACAACACGAUUCGAAACCCUAUAUUUUUUUAUUUUUUUUGAUAUUUUUAUUUUACUUAGGAGUGCUAAAGGAGUAACCACAGAAAAUUUGAGCUUAAGCAAGUGAAAGACAUGGCCUGUGGAAUUUUCUGAAGAUUGUGAAAAAUAUGAAAAAACUUCACGUAUUAGAAACUCAAACUUCGGAGGCGAAUUUUAGGAUUCUAAAAGUGUCAAACCCGCGAAACUUAGGGACAACCAGAUCUGAAUUUUUUUUCUGAUCGAUUUUGAUAUAUGAAACCUUGAAAUCGGAGUUCGUAUGCGAAAGUUAUGGCUGUUUUACGAGCAGACUUCGAAUUAGAGGACAAAACGGUCCGAAAGUGGAAAAAUUUUGCGCCGGUGGCCAGAAAUUGAUGGAAACGGUGGGGAAAACACAUGAACUGGACUCUAACAAGACCUAACCAGCAACAAGACCUCGACUAGGACACAAACUCAACACUGCGGACUCUGAAACUGAAAUAUGCAAAGGCAAUGGCGCGGAAGGGUUGUAGGACAGGAAAACUAUAUAGCACUGGACUUAUGGAACGAACACAAGAACACUCAAAACUAAGGGUAGAUGUGAACCUAAUGGUAUACAUGAAGCUUUGAUUACCAUUUGAUGAGAACAAGGGUGGCCCAAUCUUCCGAAAAGUUCUAGUAACUCUCGAUUUGGUGGAGACGAGACACAAAUCGAUAUGGCUUCCGAACAACACGAUCCGAAACCCCGCAUUUUUUUUAUUUUUUUAAUAUUUUCCUUUUACUUAGGAGCACUAAAGAAGUAACCACAGAAAAUUUGAACUUAAUCGAGUAAAAGACGUGGCCUGCGGAAUUUUGUGAAGAUUACAAAAAAUGUGAAAAAAACUUCACAAGGUGAAAACUCAAACUUCGAAGACGAAUUUGGAGAUCCUAAAUUUUCAAACCCCCUAAAACCGAGGACAGACAGACACUAUAUUUUUUCUGAUCGAUUUUGAUAUAUGGAACAUUGAAAUCGAAGUUUGUAUGUGAAAGUUAUGGCUGUUUUACGAACGGACUCCGAAUUAGAGGACAAAACGGUCCGAAAGUGGGAAAAUUUUGCGGCGGUGGCAAGAAAUUGAUGGAAACGGUGGGAAAAACACAUGAACUGGACUCUAACAAGACCUAACCAGCAACAAGACCUCGACCAGAACACAAAAUCAACACUGCGGACUCUGAAACUAAAAUAUGCAAAGGUUAUGGCGCGGAAGGGUUGUAGGACAGGAAAACGAUAUGGCACUGGACUUAUGGGACGAACACAAGAACACUCAAAACUAAGGGUAGAUGUGAACCUAACGGUAUACCUGAAGCUUUGAUUACCACUUGAUAAGAACAAGGAUGGCCCGAUCUUCUGAAAGGUUCUGGUAACUCUUGAUUUGGUGGAGACGAGACACAAAUUGAUCCGUCUUCCGAACAACACGAUCCGAAACCCUGCAAUUUUUUUAUUUUUUUGAUAUUUUUCUAUUACUUAGGUGCACUAAAGAAGUAACCAUAGAAAAUUUGAGCUUAAACAAGUGAAAGACGUGGCCUGCAGAAUUUUUUGAAGAUUGCGAAAAAUGUGAAAAAAACAUCACGAGGU